rnacentral:rRNA from 1 species
GAUGAACGCUGGCGGCGUGCCUAAUACAUGCAAGUCGAGCGAACAGACGAGGAGCUUGCUCCUCUGACGUUAGCGGCGCACGGGUGAGUAACACGUGGAUAACCUACCUAUCAGACUGGGAUAACUUCGGGAAACCGGAGCUAAUACCGGAUAAUCUAUUGCACCGCAUGGUUCAAUAGUGAAAGACGGUUUUGCUGUCACUUCUAGAUGGAUCCGCGCCGCAUUAGCUAGUUGGUAAGGUAACGGCUUACCAAGGCGACGAUGCGUAGCCGACCUGAGAGGGUGGUCGGCCGCACUGGAACUGGGACACGGUCCAGACUCCUACGGGAGGCAGCAGUAGGGAAUCUUCCGCAAUGGGCGAAAGCCUGACGGAGCAACGCCGCGUGAGUGAUGAAGGUCUUCGGAUCGUAAAACUCUGUUAUUAGGGAAGAACAAAUGUGUAAGUAACUAUGCACGUCUUGACGGUACCUAAUCAGAAAGCCACGGCUAACUACGUG